rnacentral:miRNA from 1 species
AUCUCGGAUACCAACCAUCAAAUC